rnacentral:rRNA from 1 species
AACGAACGCUGGCGGCAUGCCUAACACAUGCAAGUCGAACGAGACCUUCGGGUCUAGUGGCGCACGGGUGCGUAACGCGUGGGAACCUGCCCUUAGGUUCGGAAUAACUCCCCGAAAGGGGUGCUAAUACCGGAUAAUGUCUUCGGACCAAAGAUUUAUCGCCUUUGGAUGGGCCCGCGUUGGAUUAGCUAGUUGGUAGGGUAAAAGCCUACCAAGGCGACGAUCCAUAGCUGGUCUGAGAGGAUGAUCAGCCACACUGGGACUGAGACACGGCCCAGACUCCUGCGGGAGGAAGCAGUGGGGAAGGUGGGACAAUGGGCGAAAGGUUGAUCAACCACUGCCGCGGGGGUGAGAAAGGCCGUAGGGUGGUAAAGAUCUUUUAACAGCGAUGAUAAUGAAAGUACGGGGAGAAUAAGAUCCGCAUAACCCCGUG